AGUUAGGUAGUUUGGAGGGUAGAGCGUCUGCCUUGUAAGCGCUAGGUCGCGGGUUCGAUUCCCGCCCGGGCAG
rfam:Asian citrus Psyllid, Diaphorina citri - Florida Strain, whole genome shotgun sequence.